ACUCUGGCUUCUCUUCAGAUCGCAUAAAU
rnacentral:snRNA from 1 species